GGUUCGGAAUUAAGUGAUCGGAUACCCGUUACCCGAACCCGAUUAGCUAUACUUCAAAACUAACCCUAAAUUCCCUUAUCCCUAAUUCAUUUUCUUAUUUUACUCGACCUUCUCUUUGCGCCUCUCUCCCCCCUUCCCUUCCCAUAAUUUCCAAUCGACACCUCUCCCCCACUUCACUGACGACUGCCGGCAGCCCAGUCGGCACCGGCGACAUCUCCUUCUCUCUCUCCAGUCGGCGAUAUCUCCCACUUCCCAGUCAACGCCUCCCUCCCCCACUUCCGGUCAGCGAUAUCUCCUUCUCUCUCUCUAGUGUGGCGACAUCUCCCACUUCCCAGUCGGAGACAAUUCUUCCCUCUCCCCGGUUGGCAUCGGCGACAUCUCCUUCUCUCUCCACAGUCGGUGACGACUGGAGACAACCCGUGCCUCUCCCCAAUCAGCGUCAGUGACAUCUUCUUUUACUGAAAUCUCUUCGGGAUAUUUAAAAUGUCAACGUUUAAUAGUUCCGAAGAUGUAGCGAGUUGUAAAACUACUACUGUUUCUCAACCUUCUUCAACCACUCAGCCCGCUAAUAGUUCCACCCAUUUUCAAUUGGAGCCAUCUACACCAAUCAAUCCCUCUCAUUCAUUGCCAGCCGCUUCAGAAAUGGAAGGUAAUUACAACAAUAAACUCUUAUUUUUAUUUUAUUUUAUUUUAAUGUAAAACUAAUAAAUGUUAAUAAUUUUUUCUGGUUGUUCAAAUGAGAAUAAAUCUUGUUUAUGGGAUGCUGAGAAUGAUGUGAAUUAAAUCAUGCAUUUCACAAUUUUAAUAUCUUUUCAAGCACAAUUUGAUGUUGGAGAUUGAAAUGAUCAAUUAAAUAUAUUUUAUGUUCAAUCAAUAUAGUUUAAUGAACUUUUGGAACAUUUCAUUUGUUCAAAAUGUUAUGUUGGAUAGAUAAUUGAUUAAUGGUUGUGUUAUGAUGAAUUUGUAAUAUAUUUAUUUACUUUUAGUAUAUUUAAAUUUCCUAAUUCAAGCUUGUUAUUUGGGUUAUAAUAU